rfam:Gossypium hirsutum cultivar TM-1 unplaced genomic scaffold scaffold336.1, whole genome shotgun sequence
UAUUAAAAUUCUAUUUAUUUGUACUAUUAAAAGCUGAGGUGGUUGAUAGGAAACUAGACAAUGAUACAUGGUAUGCCACAUGUACCUUAUGCUGACGUACAAAGACCAUAUUUUAACAAUAGAAAUAGAUGAAAUUUUUAACA